GGGCCCGCACAAGCGGUGGAGCAUGUGGUUCAAUUCGACGCAACGCGAAGAACCUUACCUGGGCUCGAAGCACAGUGGACCGGGGUAGAAAUACCCCUUUUCGCAAGAACUGCUGUGGAGGUGCUGCAUGGCUGUCGUCAGCUCGUGUCGUGAGAUGUUGGGUUAAGUCCCGCAACGAGCGCAACCCUUAUCGUUAGUUGCCAGCGAGUCAAGUCGGGCACUCUAGCGAAACCGCCCCGGAUAACGGGGAGGAAGGUGGGGAUGACGUCAAGUCCUCAUGGCCUUUAUGUCCAGGGCUACACACGUGCUACAAUGGUCGGUACAAACCGUCGCAAACCUGCGAAGGGGAGCUAAUCGGAAAAAGCCGGCCUCAGUUCGGAUUGGAGUCUGCAACUCGACUCCAUGAAGCUGGAAUCGCUAGUAAUCGCGGAUCAGCACGCCGCGGUGAAUACGUUCCCGGGCCUU
rnacentral:rRNA from 1 species